CGGCUAGGGGGCCAUCCCGGCUUACCAACCCGAUGCAAACUGCGAAUACCGGAGAAUGUUAUCACGGGAGACACACGGCGGGUGCUAACGUCCGUCGUGAAGAGGGAAACAACCCAGACCGCCAGCUAAGGUCCCAAAGUCAUGGUUAAGUGGGAAACGAUGUGGGAAGGCCCAGACAGCCAGGAUGUUGGCUUAGAAGCAGCCAUCAUUUAAAGAAAGCGUAAUAGCUCACUGGUCGAGUCGGCCUGCGCGGAAGAUGUAACGGGGCUAAACCAUGCACCGAAGCUGCGGCAGCGACACUCAGGUGUUGUUGGGUAGGGGAGCGUUCUGUAAGCCUGCGAAGGUGGCCUGUGAGGGUUGCUGGAGGUAUCAGAAGUGCGAAUGCUGACAUAAGUAACGAUAAAGCGGGUGAAAAGCCCGCUCGCCGGAAGACCAAGGGUUCCUGUCCAACGUUAAUCGGGGCAGGGUGAGUCGACCCCUAAGGCGAGGCCGAAAGGCGUAGUCGAUGGGAAACGGGUUAAUAUUCCCGUACUUGGUGUUACUGCGAAGGG
rnacentral:rRNA from 1 species